ensembl:lncRNA
GGGUAAUACUAUUAUAUUAUACAGUACAACAGACAGGGACAGGGGUAAUAAUAUUAUAUUAUACAGUAUAACAGACAGGGACAGGGGUAAUAAUAUUAUAUUAUACAGUACAACAGACAGGAGAGGUAAUAAUAUUAUAUUUUACAGUACAACAGACAUGGACAGGGGUAAUAAUAUUAUAUUUUACAGUACAACAGACAGGGACAGAGGUAAUAAUAUUAUAUUAUAGAGUACAACAGACAGGGACAGGGGUAAUAAUAUUAUAUUUUACAGUACAACAGACAGGGACAGAGGUAAUAAUAUUAUAUUAUACAGUACAACAGACAGGGACAGGGGUAAUAAUAUAUUAUACAGUACAACAGACAGGGACAGAGGUAAUAAUAUUAUAUUAUACAGUACAACAGACAGGGACAGGGGUAAUAAUAUAUUAUACAGUACAACAGACAGGGACAGGGGUAAUAAUAUUAUAUUAUACAGUACAACAGACAGGGACAGGGGUAAUAAUAU